CGGCUCGCUCGGUGGAGCCACUUGAGGCCUCUUGGGAGGCCGCGAUGGUCCGGCCUCUUGCACCGGCCUCUUCCGCACAGCGUACUGCCGGACGUCGGCCACCGUCAGUCUCGCCCUCGAUGGCAUAUCUGCAGACGACGACAGAUGAUCAGCACCCAAAAAGAAAGGAAGGAAGAAAGGAGGGGGAAAAUAGAAGGCGAACCUAAGCGAGGGACCGGGCUGAGAC
rnacentral:lncRNA from 1 species